CUGGUGUUAUAUUUUUCACUUAGAUGUUCAAUAAGUUGCACUGAGUAAAUACAGCUGGAUAUUAAAAACAUCUUCAUUUCAGUCUGCAAAGCAACAAAAUGGGAUUUUAUUUUAAAGGGGUGGGGUGAUUCUUUUCUAUACCCACUGUAUAUACAGAUUACUUUCAUGUUGCAAAAUAAGGUGGAUAUGACAUUAAUUUAUUUAAGUUAUUUGAAAAGCACUUUAUUUGAUAAAAUAAUGUAAAUGUAAUUUUGUGUGAUUUUAAUCCUUAUUAGAGAAUCACUUCAUUAAUGGUGCAGUGAAGUCUUCUGUUUGGUUGCCUGCAGAGUGUUCAAAAUUGGUCACUUAGAAGCUCCUUACAUUUCGAACAGAGUAAUAGACACAUACAGUCAUAUUUCAAGACAAACUGGCAACACAAACAGCCAAUAUAAAGUUCCAGAAAUAUCAAUAACUUUAAUUAUGAAAUGCCUCUGUUAAGAUAAGUGAAUUAAUUAUGAUAGGUCCAUCAAGGGUGAGAAUCAGGAGGCGGUGCCUUUCUCACACUUUGCAUGUAGGGGUGGGGGUGCAGCCACACGAGCCAACUGAGUGGCGCAGCUGCAAGUAAGGACAAGAUGGUAACAACAACCAACAGUAUCCCACACUUCUCAACCACCCGAGCCAGUACCAAAACAGAAGACAAGCUGACAUCAGAACAUGUUUACCAGUGGUGCAUCAAGUCGCAUGAACUCUCACAAGCUUGCUAAGGCUUGUUAAUAAAUGACAAGAUCAUUGGCUGAUGAGAACACCAUCGUCCUUUAAUCACCAUUCCACAUAAGAGACCUCUACAAACAUAAUGCUUUAUUUUCAAAUAGCUGCAUGGUAUUCUACGUGACAUCCUUGUUAUCCACCUUAUCUUUAACUUUGGCGCAGCCAUUUUUAACUUAAAUGUGCCUGGCUUCCGGAGCUGCAAAGUGCUGUUUGAUAUCAUAUUAUUUUAAUUUAUAACCAUUAUCAUAAAACAACUGCUUUAUAGCAUGCAUGUUGCAAGGAUACCACAGCACUCUAGAAUGCUUGAUUUAGAUUGGCUGACAGACAUUACAGUAGAUUGCCAGUGAAUUUAAUUUGUCUUAAAGAGCUUCCUACAACAGAAAAAUAACCAGGAAUAAAUACAAAAGACAUUAUCCGGGCAAAAAUGUUUUGGGAAAUUACCCUGCAUCCCCCUAACAGAGACAAACAGAAACAUCUUGUCAACGCUGUUCCAUGGCUUACAUUACUCAUUAGUGAGGUGACAACAUUGUUAUUUUUAAGUAGUUAAAGAAAGAUAGAAAGGCGCUGCUGAUGAACAGUGCUAUGAGACAAAGUCAGAUUAAGUUCUUGGCACUGAGCUAAAAAAAGGAAGUAUACAAGAGCCAUGUAAUCCUUUUUUUAUAAGAAUGAUCUGGGACAGUUCAGACAUCAAUGUUAUCAUUUGUCAGCUCUAAUCGUAGUAUUACUGUAAGAAUGCAAUGCAUGCAAGACUGGCAUGUUGGCCAGCUGUGCUUCCAAUGACAUCUACCAAAUGUUUAAACUUAACUGGUUCUCACUUACUCAAUCUGAAAGAAUGGGAAUCAUCAGAGUUUUUUAAAGAAGCUUUACAUAUUUUUCAUUGUUAAAAUAAUGUAAAAAGGACACUGAAGUGGAUUAUUUGGAAGCACCAAUACCCAAACUCGCAACUAGAGUUAAAAAAAGAUGAUAACAUUGAAGAUAACAUUUUUUGUUAGCAUUCACAAAAACAGCAUGAUGUCAUUACAAACUAAUCUCCUCUUUUGAGUCUUUGAAGAUAACUUCUGCAAAUGAGUGGACAUUCAGCAUUAUCCAGCUGCACAAAUGUUGAAUUUAACCAAGCUAUGAAAACAUACUGUGGCUCUUAAUUUAAGUAUAAAGUAUAUCCAGACCAAAGGUCACUGAUAAGAAGUAAUCUGAUGAUUUAAAACGAAGUCUGCAUGAGGCUUAAGAUUUGUUAACAAAGCGAACACUCACCUAACUGGCUUUACAAGCUCUCUCUCUCACUUCUCAUCUUGAAAGCCACUGAGCCAAAAGAGCUGGUUUGACUGGAAGAAC
ensembl:lncRNA